CAGAAGCGCACGAGGAGAGCGAGUAACUCUAGCAAUCUCUUCAAGCCAUGUGCAGCAAAACCUUCUGCUUCAUCUCUCCUCAUCCGAUUAUGACCACACAGUCUUCUGAUUUCACUUUGACAUCUAAUAACUCCUUAUCGGGGGAUUUUUGAGGACUUAACAAUAAUAUAAGGACAGCACGACCCGCUUUACAUUUUCAUUCACCUCGUUUGGCUUGUGAAAACAAAACUGAUUUGGAACACUUUCUCUAGACUGUGUUUGUUUAUCAGUGGGAAUAUCCAGGAGGAGUGUUUGAAUUUAAUUCCCAAAGACAUUCAAAGAAGACUGAACAUACAGUGAUCGAAAAUGAAUCAAACCGCAGGAGCCACAAACACUUACAGAAGAUGCUCAAAAGGAGGAAAAGGCACGGCACGGAAGGUCAGCGCUACUGACUCUUCUAAAUUACCCCGGCUCUACUUACAAAGUACUCCUGAAGAACCCCGCAAGAAGUUACACAUCAGCCGAUUAAUCAACAGUGCAGAGACAGCCAUCAAAUUUGAGCGCUCAUAUGACUGGAAUCCUAAUGUUGACUGCUCAAAUGAUGAAGUGCUUUAUCUUUAUGCGCAUCACACAUGUGUGUAUAAGUGCACAUGCUAUGAAUUGAGUAAUUUGAGCUUUGAGGAAAUAUUUAAUUAAUGGAAACACCUGGAGUUGAAAACACAAUGAUGUGCCUUAAUUGAAAUAGUGCCUUGAAAAAGUCUGUAAAUGGAUGCGUUGCUUUUAAUCAGAUGUUUUGUGCUACAGACAUUAUACCUUAAACUGUACAGCUUGUUGAGGAGAGGCAUGCUAUUACUUUUCUAACCAAUAACUUACCAUUUUCACUUGAGGGACAAUAAAACUGGCAUUUUUUUAAAAUUAUGACCAAAAUGUUUGAAAUAUGAUGUGAAUUACAUCAAAAGUCUACUGCUUUGAACCAAACCAAGAUAGAGUAGAAUUCAUUUGCUUUUAAUGUUGAAGCAAUCCAUACAUACUGCAAUGCAAUGAAUGUACCAUUAUUCCACUGACAACAGUUAUCUUGAAGAUCAGAAAUUCCAGUUGGAUUCCAGCGCACUGUAGAUUCAACAUACUUUGUUGCAGAAGAAACCUUAAUAUUACUAGUCAAUUUUUGCUUGUCACCAUGAAAUUUAGUGAAACAUUUAAAAAAUGAUGUCCUUAAAUCAUUGUCCUUCUCCUUGUUUUUUUUUUCCCACCAUGUAGCGAACUCUAUUUUGUGUAUGCAGACAUAAUUAAUGUCCUUGAGGGAGUCAUUCCACAAUGUUGCCAUAUAUUGAUUGUGUCCCUCAAUUCUUAAAUUAGCAUAACAGCCUUGUUAACAACAGUUUAUUUAUUCAGGGUAGUGCGUCCUCCAAGCUGUUUUUCCCUUAUAUUUUGUUUUAUAGCUCCUUAUGUUCAGUCUGCAAUUUAUUGUCGUACACUAAUACAAAUGGCCAAUGGCUCAUUUUCAUACAGUACGUGUCUGCUCGCCCUACAAGGAAUGUUGAUUAUUUGUUUCCUUUAAAUUCAUAUUUAUACAGCAGUUUAAAAUGGAACUUGAAAGAACUGCACAUUUUAGAUGUCUCCUGAAUCUAACACACCUGACUCAACUGUUUGAAAACUGGUUAUUUUUGCAAUUCAAUAUGGUGUUGCUAGUGACCCAGAAAUUACACACUUCAGCUUUACAGGUUGUAUUUUUGAGCAGGUGGCCCAGUUUCUGACCCAGCACAGCUGACUAUGCAGUCUGGUGGAUGGACUGGAAAAACUCUUACUUAUUAGUAGUAAUAAAUUUUGCUGGAGCAACUGACUGUAACCAGCUAAAGUCUGUUUGUGGUGGGAACAUCUUCUUUGCUUGAGAAAGUUGCCUAUCCUCUGUAAAGACUACAGUGUUAGAUAGCCAGAAGGGAAACUGAACCUGAAGGUAACACUUACACAAGCCUGAUUUUAUACAUUUAGUCUAACUGCAGUUUAUAAGCCUAUACGUUGAACUUUUCAGCAUUGCCGUGAAAGGAACUAUAGUGGGCAUUAGUAUAAGCUAUAACCGUCUACUAUCAGGUCAUCUGCUGCCAUUGCACUCAGAGAAAUAGUUUGAAGAGAAGCUCACUGAGGAAGUUUAAGGUUGACAUGUGUAAUACCAGGAUAAUAACACAUUAAUAACACAGACAUUUGAAUGUAACCAAUUGGAGAUCAGCCAAUAGCCUUAUUAAAAU